GCCAGCACCCCGCCAGACUUUUUCUCUGCGGCCCUGCAAGGUGGCGGUGAGGGGCCCAAGGGAGUUCCUGGCUACUGCUACAGCUCGGUGCCCCGUUCCCACAAGGCGCCCCACCUGUGUGGCGCUGGGGACGGCGGCCAGUACGUGCUCAUGAGCUCCCCCGUGGGCCGCAUCCUGGAGGAGGAGAGACUGGAGUCCUCAGCUGCCCCUGUGGCUGCCGCAUUGAGCAGCGCCUUUGGGACUGGUGGGGACAGCCACAUGCAGCCUCAUCACCCAGCAGCAGUGCCUUCCCCCAUGAGGCCAGGGGGCAAUGGCGGUGGGCGUCCUGAGGGCUUCUUGGGCCAGCGCUGCCGGGCAGUGCGCCCCACACGACUGUCCCUAGAGGGGCUGCAGACGCUGCCCAGCAUGCACGAGUACCCCGUGCCCACGGAGCCCAAGAGCCCCGGCGAGUACAUCAACAUUGACUUCGGGGAAGCAGGUGGACAGUUGUCACCGCCAGCCCGACCGCUGCUGGCCUCUGCUGCUUCGUCCUCCUCGCUGCUGUCUGCCAGUAGCCCUGCAUCUUCGUUGGGUUCCGGUACGCCGGGCACCAGCAGUGAUAGUAGACAGCGCUCCCCGCUGUCUGACUACAUGAACCUGGGCUUCAGCUCCCCCAAGUCGCCCAAGCCAGGAGCCCACAGCGGGGACCCCGUGGGCUCCCUGGAUGCCCUCCAGUCCCCUGACGCCACGUCCCCAUACCCGCCGCUGCCCCCGCGCCCUUCGCCCUGUCUGACCUCUUCCCUACAGCAGGCCCCACCACCGCCUCCCCCCGGAGAGCUGUACCGCCUGCCCACCGCACCGAAUGCUGUAGUCACUUCCCAGGGCCCUGGCACUGCCCCAUCCUCUGACACUGGCGACAACAGUGAUUACACCGAGAUGGCCUUUGGUGUGGCAGCCACCCCGCCACAGCCGAUCGCUGCCCCUCCGAAGCCGGAGGGUGCCCGAGUGAGCAGCCCCACGUCAGGCCUGAAGCGACUGAGCCUCAUGGAUCAGGUGUCGGGCGUUGAGGCCUUCCUCCAGGCUGGCCAGCCCCCUGACCCCCACCGGGGCGCCAAGGUCAUCCGUGCAGACCCGCAGGGGGGCCGCCGCCGCCACAGCUCAGAGACUUUUUCCUCCACCACCACGGUCACCCCUGUGUCUCCAUCUUUUGCCCACAACCCCAAGCGUCACAACUCAGCCUCCGUGGAAAAUGUCUCUCUCAGGAAAAGCAGUGAGGGCAGUGGUGCUGGCAGCCUCGGUGGGGGUCUUGGGGCAGGUGAGGAGCCACUCAGGUCCCCGGGACACUCACAGCUGUCAGUCGCACCCCCGCCACCACAGUCACGGCCGUGGAGCACUGGUCAGCCUGGGGGCCUGGUCGGCUGUCCAGGGGGUGGCAGUUCCCCGAUGCGCAGAGAAACUUCCAUGGGGUUCCCGAAAGGCCUCAACUACAUUGCCAUCAGCGUGCGGGACGAAGCAGGGCUGUCCGCGCAGACGCAGCAUCUACAGCCAGGGGACAGGAGCUCCUGGGGCCGGGCCCGGAGCCUCGGGGGCCUGCUUAGCACUGUGGGAGGCAGUGGCACCAGUGGGGCAUGUGGGGGCCCGGGCCCUAGCGCCCUGCCCUCUGCCAACACCUAUGCCAGCAUCGACUUCCUGUCCCAUCGUCUGAAGGAGGCCACGGUCGUGAAAGAAACCCCUUCAAGCCCUGGAAUUCUACAUUUCCUUUCCCACCCUGGAGCAGGAGUACCCUCUGUGUUGCCCUAGGGCAGAGCCAAGGCACCAUGCCUGUGAUGUCCUUCAAGGAGACAAAGCCUCCUCCGCUGUGAGGGCCAGCAGCAGCCAGCCAUCUCCCAGAGGAGCCUCCUCUGCCCGGUAGGCCAAGGUGCACUACCGCUGGCCAGACACCCAGCCGAGCCCGAGCCCUGAGUCCCUGGGGCUCCGUCGGCACAGACUGCACUGAGGUUACAGAGGGGCAAGCUCUGCCCAGGACGUCUGGCCUGCUGUGCUCUGAGCUGUCUCAGCUCCGGCCUUGCUUUCUGACCUGAAGUUGUGUCCUGCCAGCAGGGCAGGAUGUUCCAGAGGGCAGGACGGGGCUGUACUUCCCCCUGGUUGGCGAGGCACAAGCUGCCCAGAGCCAGCCAGCCUCAGGUGGCCUCCAGAAGGUACUUCCUGCCUCCCUGUAGGGUGUGAACUUCCCCCUGGAUUCCUAGGCUCCUUUUGGGGGUCACGGACUUGUAAAGGUCACAGAAGCUUGGUCUGGUGGACACUGAGGCUCCUGCCAGGUUGGUCCCGGGGGCCGCCUGGAUCUGUGCUGCCCUGCACUUUGGGAUAGAGGAACGUGGCAGUGCUCAGCCACACCUACCCAGGACAGGACCAGGCACAUGGCCCUGGAGUGUGAUCACCUUGGCUUGGGUGUUGUACGUGGCAGCUCCACAGGAGCUUGUUUGUUAAGGCAGUGUGAAUGACAAGGGGCACCCUGAAGAGCAGGGACCACCAG
ensembl:lincRNA